rnacentral:ncRNA from 2 species
AAGUGGGGUAGAGGAGCAGCGCUUAACGAUUCUUAGUGAAGCUUGAGAGCAAAGCAAUGACAUUAAGGAGAAGGAAGUGUUGCCGAAGCAGAUAAUAUUCUCUCAUGUUAUUUGCUGGGCCUGCAGUUAAGAGCUGUAGGACUGUCUCAAUAAACAGCCCGGUUUAUUGAGUUGAGCUAUCUCAAUU